UGUGGGAGCAAAUAUAAUCUAAGGAGGUUGUAAUAUUGUAGCACUGGGUAUGUGGCACUGCUCUGGGCUAGGUGUGACGGAGGUGGCACUGCUCUGGGCUAGGUGUGACGGCAGUGGCAGUGCUCUGGGCGAGGUGUGACGGCGGUAGCAGUGCUCUGGGCUAGGUGUGACGGCAGUGGCAGUGCUCUGGGCUAGGUGUGAUGGCGGUGGCAGUGCUCUGGGCUAGGUGUGACGACGGUGACACUGCUCUGGGCUAGGUGUGAUGGCGGUGGCAGUGCUCUGGGCUAGGUGUGACGGCGGUGGCACUGCUCUGGGCUAGGUGUGACGGCGGUGGCAGUGCUCUGGGCUAGGUGUGACGGCGGUGGCAGUGCUCUGGGCUAGGUGUGACGGCAGUGGCAGUGCUCUGGGCUAGGUGUGACGGCGGUGGCAGUGCUCUGGGCUAGGUGUGACGGCGGUGGCAGUGCUCUGGGCUAGGUGUGACGGCGGUGGCAGUGCUCUGGGCUAGGUGUGACGGCGGUGGCAGUGCUCUGGGCUAGGUGUGACGGCGGUGGCAGUGCUCUGGGCUAGGUGUGACGGCGGUGGCAGUGCUCUGGGCUAGGUGUGACGGCGGUGGCACUGCUCUGGGCUAGGUGUGACGGCGGUGGUUCGGGCUAACCAGGGUUGGAGUCAAUUUGGUCAACUCAGGGAGUAAAAAUGCUAUUUCAGUUUAUUUCCUGAAUUGACUUGGAAUUUACCCCAACCCUGGAGCUAACAGUCUUGUGGCACGCAGGUUCGAGGACUUGGGUUCGAAUCCUUGCUUGGCCCCAUAUAAAAUGCAUUGAAUUGAGUAAUUUGGUCCU